GAUGAACGCUGGCGGCGUGCUUAACACAUGCAAGUCGAACGGAAAGGCCCAAGCUUGCUUGGGUACUCGAGUGGCGAACGGGUGAGUAACACGUGGGUGAUCUGCCCUGCACUUCGGGAUAAGCCUGGGAAACUGGGUCUAAUACCGGAUAGGACGAUGGUUUGGAUGCCAUUGUGGAAAGUUUUUUCGGUGUGGGAUGAGCUCGCGGCCUAUCAGCUUGUUGGUGGGGUAAUGGCCUACCAAGGCGUCGACGGGUAGCCGGCCUGAGAGGGUGUACGGCCACAUUGGGACUGAGAUACGGCCCAGACUCCUACGGGAGGCAGCAGUGGGGAAUAUUGCUCAAUGGGCGCAAGCCUGAUGCAGCGACGCCGCGUGGGGGAUGACGGCCUUCGGGUUGUAAACUCCUUUCGCUAGGGACGAAGCGUUUUUGUGACGGUACCUGGAGAAGAAGCACCGGCUAACUACGUG
rnacentral:rRNA from 1 species